CGUUCUGGACAGGAGCGAGAAGCCACUCGACUUUGUUGGGAGCUCUCUCUGUCGGUAUUACCACUGCACUCGGUCAGUGACUCGAACCCAGCGGAAAAGAGUGGAAGAGUGCCUGGAGGUUGGAAACGGGUGCUUAGUAGCCACUGUCAAAUAUUUAUCAAACUCAUACAACUGAGUUUUAAAUAUAGUAGAACUCUGUUCUAUCUUCCAUUGGCAUGUUUAUGAGUUACUGUAUUUAUUCUCUAUGAUGAGGUUAGAAAACAUGUUAACCGAGUAUGAUUAUGUUCUUUCUUGACAUGUACACACAAAAAAAUAGAAAGUAUAUUCAUAAUGAAAUUCAACAUAUGAUUAUAAA